rnacentral:rRNA from 1 species
AGUGAACGCUGGCGGUAGGCCUAACACAUGCCAGUCGAACGGCAGCACAGUAAGAGCUUGCUCUUACGGGUGGCGAGUGGCGGACGGGUGAGGAAUACAUCGGAAUCUACUUUUUCGUGGGGGAUAACGUAGGGAAACUUACGCUAAUACCGCAUACGACCUACGGGUGAAAGCAGGGGAUCUUCGGACCUUGCGCGAUUGAAUGAGCCGAUGUCGGAUUAGCUAGUUGGCGGGGUAAAGGCCCACCAAGGCGACGGUCCGUAGCUGGUCUGAGAGGAUGAUCAGCCACACUGGAACUGAGACACGGUCCAGACUCCUACGGGAGGCAGCAGUGGGGAAUAUUGGACAAUGGGCGCAAGCCUGAUCCAGCCAUACCGCGUGGGUGAAGAAGGCCUUCGGGUUGUAAAGCCCUUUUGUUGGGAAAGAAAAGCAGCAGGUUAAUACCCCGCUGUUCUGACGGUACCCAAAGAAUAAGCACCGGCUAACUUCGUG